rnacentral:rRNA from 1 species
GAUGAACGCUGGCGGCGUGCCUAAUACAUGCAAGUCGAGCGAAUGGAUUAAGAGCUUGCUCUUAUGAAGUUAGCGGCGGACGGGUGAGUAACACGUGGGUAACCUGCCCAUAAGACUGGGAUAACUCCGGGAAACCGGGGCUAGUACCGGAUAACAUUUUGAACCGCAUGGUUCGAAAUUGAAAGGCGGCUUCGGCUGUCACUUAUGGAUGGACCCGCGUCGCAUUAGCUAGUUGGUGAGGUAACGGCUCACCAAGGCAACGAUGCGUAGCCGACCUGAGAGGGUGAUCGGCCACACUGGGACUGAGACACGGCCCAGACUCCUACGGGAGGCUGCAGUGGGGAAUCUUCCGCAAUGGACGAAAGUCUGACGGAGCAACGCCGCGUGAGUGAUGAAGGCUUUCGGGUCGUAAAACUCUGUUGUUAGGGAAGAACAAGUGCUAGUUGAAUAAGCUGGCACCUUGACGGUACCUAACCAGAAAGCCACGGCUAACUACGUGCCAGCCGCCGCUGUAA